AUCCCUGUAGGGCAGCUGUGAGCCUUGCACCGGGGCUCGGGGCUGCCUCUAGCGGGGUGCAGCCUUCCGCUGCUGGGGAAAAGGGACUGUUCUGCUUCGGGUACCUCCGGCGGCUGAAGGGGCGGAGGCUGCAGCCUUCGAGUUGGAAAGGGAGAAUAAAAAGGAGGCAGGGGGAGAGGCGGAGAGGCUGCCGGACAGCGGGCGGGGCUGGGGAGGAAGGGGAGGCAGCGAGGAUGUGGAGCUGCGGCUGAGCCCCCUCCUGCCCAAGAAGGAGAGCAUCAGCCCGGCGGACGGAGGGAAGCGGGGAGAUGCGGCCGGGCUCGCACGGCGCCCGCUGAGCUCUCACCCAGCAAAGUUUCCCGAGCUCGGGGAGGAGGAGAGGGAAGGCGGCAUGGGAGAGCCUGCUGCCUCCAGCCCGGCCCGGUCGGGACCCGCCGUGGCUUUGGCGCUGCUGUCUGAGGGCUGAAGGAGACCCCCGGGGCGCCUACAGACUCUUCCCCAGACCAGGAGGAACCGCCCUGUCAGCUCCAGGUGAUGUCUCACUGAGCAGGAACUUCACCGAAAGUUCACUGCUGCACUUCUAUUCAGCUCGAAACAAAAGCCUGCGCAGGGGCAAUGAGAGAUGACACUGGAGACAGCAGCUGGAGGUGUGGGAAAAUGUAAUACCCUGGGAAACGCGUUGGAAAUGGCUGGCUGAUCUCACUGGUGUGUUGACGGUGAUUUCAAGGGAGCAGAAGACCAGAGAUAGCCUUCUCAGCACUGUGUGCGCCCUGUGAGGACUGAAGUGACCUCCAAGACUCACCUCAACAUGUUCAGUGAAAAGAGCAGUGCUUCUUUGACCCAGAAGCCCAGCCAGAAAAAGACACGACCUCAGGGCCUCCCUUCCCCUGCCCUCUGCUGUGCGUGUGGACUUUGCAUCAUGCUGGCAGGGAUUAACAUCACUCUAGUGGGAGCAUUUGCAUUUGGGACCUUCCUCCCCAUGAACAACCCUCCAAUCAUCAUAGGACCCAUCUUGCUGGUGGUGGCCUUCACAUUCUUCGGUGCCUGCUGCAUCUGCAGCCGGAGGCCACCUGCUCACGGGGCCAGAAAAUCCAAACCAGGUUCCAACAUCGGUCUCAUCAAACCUGGCAACACUGCCUUUGAAAUUGAAACUAGCGAGCACACAGUGCAGGAUACCACUGCUGUUCAGCUGAGCCCCACAAAUUCCCCCAUCUCCUCGAAAAAGUCCACACCGGUCCAUGAGAAUGCGAAGGCUUGCAAACUCUUCACCAUGGAAGGCAACGGGCCAGUGGCCAAGUACACACCAGGAGGAGAGGCAAUACAGCUCAACCUGCCCAGAGACCUGGCCACAUCCUAAACCCAGGCAGAGUUUUGUUAGCAGCCAGCCAGAUGCUGCAGUGGGUGGGCUGGAAUCUGAGGUGCACCAUCCAUCAGAGGUGUGGGGAAAGUGCUUGUGACAAGCCAGCAGGCAGACAGGCUUCUUUCAAUCAAUUGAAGGAGGAGGGAUGGAACAGCAGGAAAAUUCCAGAUUUUUGCUGAUAGGAACAUGCCCAUUACUUGGCUUCACAAAGAGAAUUGCUAAUGAUGUCACUGUGAAAGAAUGAACUGGACAGCUCCUGGGGGAAGACUGGCUUUUGGGGGAGCAGAUUGGAAGAGGAGGAUGAAAUAAUUUGUCUAGCAGGAGGUGGCAAUGUGAUGGCUGGAAGGAGGGGCUACAUGGGGCUGACAAAUGACACCUCUUUCUCUUCAAAAGUGAAGCAAUUCUUGGAUGUAAUAGAAGCAGGAAUGGAGUGAAUUACAGCUUGCUGCCACUCGGUCACAAGAAGAUUUCAGCAUUUUAGGGCCGGGCUUUGCGGCAGUAGGGACAUAAUAUAUGUGUUUACUAUUGAAAAAGCAGUGUAAAACAGUCUCCCCCCCUUUGGAAAUCCUUGCCCCCUUUUUCCUUCAUUUGGAAAACUUUACCAUCCAUUAUAAGAGACAGCGAAUCACAGGGAUCACAGUUAGCAUUGGCAUUUUCCAUGUUUUGAUCACGCUGGGUUGCAGUGGUGCUGGAAGGUCAGCGUGGCUGGAUCCUUGGGAACAAGCUCCUGGGGUAACUGGAGGUUGGGAGGACACUGCAAAUGAAAUCUUUGGGCAAUGCUUAUGCCCUGAGUGCUGGGGGAGGCAUCUUCCUUUCCAUUGUUUUAUGGAGGUCAGGCCUGGGACACAUCAGCUUGGGGCAGGGGACUAACAGCUGAACGGGCUUCAGUAGAGCUGUGCAGGAAGAUGCUGAUGGUAUCUUCUUUCCUGAGGAGGCUGCCAGAUCUAUUGCAUGCAGUGAGCAAUGAGGUAUGGAACUCCUUGCUGCAGGAAACCAGCUGCUGAAGGCACUCCUGGGCUUGCAAGUCAAUGGGAUGAGUUUGCAGAAGAGAAUUCUUGAAGAGCCACUCAAAACAAAGGUACUUCCAGCUCAGAGAGACCCUGAGCUGUGCACAGAGUGCUGACUAUUGCUGGCAUUGUAUUCUUCACUGGGAAGAAGUGCUGUGCUAAUGGACCUCUUUCUCUCAUGUAUUUGGUGAGAUGUGGGACCAGUGAGGAAGGAGAACUGCACUAGGCAGGGCCUGUUUGCCAGGAGGCAGCAGCAGGAGAAUGGAUUUUGAGUGUAUCUUGCCCAAAGUGCUCCCCAGCCUCCAACACACUGUUGCUUAGGAGCUUCUUGAGCUGAAGUAGUGCCUCUAUUAAGUAGCCCUGAAUGGAUUCCUUCUUCUGUCAACUUGUAUCAUCCACAAUCCUGCAGCAUGGUGUUGCAUGAUUUAAUGAGAGGCCAUGAAGAUCCCUGUCCUUGUUUUAUUUUCAGCCUGCACCCUACAAUCUCCCUGUUGAUGCCUCAAGCUCCUGGAUUAGAAGGGCCAGCAAACAGCUCAUGCCUCCCCACUGCACUCAGGUUUUCUGGGGCCUUUGUCUCAUUUCUUUCAAUUGUCUGUUUCCUAUGGUACUUCCCAUCUCUUGCUGUCGGAGGGAGGUAAUGCUUCCCAAAUUGGCCAGCAACCCAUUCAGCCCAGAAUCAGUGCUUUGCUAGGCUGAGCCUGAGGCCAGCACAUAGGUAUAUGAAGAGCUGGUGGGGCUGAAGGGAAGAUGCUAGAGGAGAGGGGAAGGCUGUGAUGUGCCCAAGGUUCUCCUGGACCACCAGCAGAUGUCUGCAAAGCAUACAGUGAGGGCUGUAUGGCUGGCGUGUUGGGAUAGGUGGUGGCAAAUGGGGCCAUAAGGGAGCUGUUGUUCUGUGCAGUCCAUGCAUGGGCUCUGGUUGCUCUGGAGAGCUGUUGUGCAGCUGAUGGCUGAAUUUCAUUCUUCAGUGAGAGGGAAGAGAAAACUCUGGCUUGAAUGCUUCAACAGUUUGCUGCCUUUAUCAGUUUCUUCUACAUCAGGGAAUUACAUUCAUGUGAUUUUUUUUUUUUU